rnacentral:lncRNA from 1 species
UGUACAUAAAAUGGGCUAUUCCAUUUAAUAUCCGUACCCCCCCUGUCGAGGAUACCUGGAAUUCUUCAGGGGUAGGGUGUUUUGAGCUUGGAAUUCUUCAGGGGUAGGGUGUUUUGAGUUUGGAAUUCUUCAGGGGUAGAUUGUUUUGAGCUUGGAAUUCUUCAGGGGUAAAGGAUUUUGAGUUUGGAAUUCUUCAGGGGUACAGUCUUUUAGCUUGGAAUUCUUCAGGGGUAAAGGAUUUUGAGUUUGGAAUUCUUCAGGGGUAGAUUGUUUUGAGCUUGGAAUUCUUCAGGGGUACAGUGUUUUGAGUUUGGAAUUCUUCAGGGGUACAGUGUUUUGAGUUUGGAAUUCUUCAGGGGUAGGGUGUUUUGAGCUUGGAAUUCUUCAGGGGUAAAGUGUUUUGAGCUUGGAAUUCUUCAGGUUAAAGUGUUUUGAGCUUGGAAUUCUUCAGGGGUACAGUGUUUUGAGCUUGGAAUUCUUCGGGGGUAGGGUGUUUUGAGUUUGGAAUUCUUCAGGGGUACAGUGUUUUGAGUUUGGAAUUCUUCAGGGGUAGGGUGUUUUGAGUUUGGAAUUCUUCAGGGGUAAAGUGUUUUGAGCUUGGAAUUCUUCAGGGGUACAGUGUUUUGAGUUUGGAAUUCUUCAGGGGUACAGUGUUUUGAGCUUGGAAUUCUUCAGGGGUACAGUGUUUUGAGCUUGGAAUUCUUCAGGGGUACAGUGUUUUGAGCUUGGAAUUCUUCAGGGGUACAGUGUUUUGAGCUUGGAAUUCUUCAGGGGUAGGGUGUUUUGAGCUUGGAAUUCUUCAGGGGUAGGGUGUUUUGAGCUUGGAAUUCUUCAGGGGUAAAGGAUUUUGAGUUUGAAAUUUCUGCAGGGGUACCCUAUGAUUGAUCUGAAUUUUUUUAACUAACUAACUGCACUCUUAAGGCCGUUUUCCAUUAACGUUCGCUAAAAAUGUUCUGCGUGAUUUAAGGUGGCUUAGUUGAAAACAAUGUAGUUGUGAAAGGACAAAGAGAAAUUCCGCUCCACGUGGAAAAUUCCGCCUAGUGAAAAACAAGCUUUAAAGCUCGAGUAAUACGAGCAACAAAAUUGCUGCAACUUGCAACAAAAUCUGAUUUCUACGCAUGUUAAUUGAAAAUACUUAACAUGCAUAGAAAUCAGUUUUUGCUGCAAGGUGCAGCAAUUAUUACUCCACAUUUACACCCGUUUUUCUUUUUAAAUUACAUGGCACAUGGGGUUAGGCCAGUUAAAAUGAGGAAGCGGAACGAAAGGGGUUAAAGGCGGAACGGAACGAAUAUGAGGUUAAAACUUAAAACCAAUAUCCGUUCCGUUCUGCAUUUUAACCAUAUAUCCGUCCCACAUUUUAACCCCAUCCGUUCCGUAUUUUAAUCCCAUCCGUUCCGCAUCCGUUCCGCUUCCGCACUUUAACCUAACCCAUGGCACAUGUUUAUGUUACGCAAACUACUAUAAAUAGCAAUGUAAACAAAAGACAUUUUAAACCGUAUCUAACACCCCCCCCCCCAAAAAAUAAAAAUAUAUUGAGCCAAAAUAAGCUAGAUAUUAUCAGAGAAAAAGAAACAACACACCAUCAUUUAAACUUGGAUAAAACAAAAUUUAUGAUUUUUAAACCUAAACCAAAAUUAUUGGAAUUAGAUGUGAAACUACUAUUGAAUGAUAGAGAAAUUGAUCAAGUGAAAAAAAUCGUUUUCUUAGGAAUUAUUUUAGAUGACAAACUUUCUUGGAAAUCUCAUAUUAGUCAUGUGUCAACGAAGAUUUCAAAAUCAGUAGGAAUAAUACGUAAAUCUAGUUGUUUUUUUAAACAAUCAUUGUUUACAGUACUUUAUAUUACUCAAUGCAAUAUUGUUUGGGCAUCUACGUAUGCAUCCAACCUGUUUCGUUUGGUAGUUCUUUAGAAACGUAUUGUUAGAAUUAUGAAUAUAGUACAUUUGAUUCUCAUACAAGCAUGAUCUUUAAAAAUUUUCGAUUAUUGAAAUUUAAUGACAUAUGUAAAUUACACUGACAUGUCAAUUCAUGUUCUUGUAUAAAAAAAUCUUGUACCAGAACAUUUAAAAAAUAUUUUUUUAUUAAAUAACCAAAUACAUAAUUAUAAUACUAGAAGAGCAAAUGAAUUUCACAUUGUAACUCCUAGAACAAAUCUACGUCAAUUCUCUAUUAAAUUCCAAGUACCAUUAAUUUUUUCUAUAACAGUCUAGACAAUACCCUGGGUGCCAGAGGUUCUUCCACGCUCGUAGGGGGAUAAUGAGGGAUACACAAGGAUUCAAGCUGGGCGGGAGGCGAGCGGAAAGAACCUUUGGAACACUUCUAUCAGUUCUAUGGUUUCUCAGAUCGAACCGCACCAAUCACGAUGCUUAAUAGUGUGAAGUGAUCUAGAAUCUGGAUCACAGUGUUAAUUGGUUAACGGCAGGGACUUGUUAAAACAAUGACUUUCAUUGGCUGUUUGAACCGUAUGUCCUUCAAGAUAUUGCGGUGCCCAAACUUGGGCACCGCAUUAUAUUCUGCCUGUGAGUUUGUUAGUUUGUUCGCAUCAACACGUUUCCUUAUUAGUCUUAUUAAUCACCUAGUAAAAAUUCUUUGCACGUGCUCGAAAUUUAUUCAUUUUUGCGGGAAAAUUAAUUAAUCUUGUACUCUCAGGAUCGACUGUUUGCUAGGCUUUAUCUCUGGUUUUAUGGGCCAAACAAGGACAACAAUACCACUGUUUGAAUCAGCGUGAAAAGUUGUAUAUAUGGAUGGAAAAUUGAUUUCUAUUCUAGCGAUAUAUAUGGCCUUUGAAAGACAAACCGCUCAAAAAUAAUCCUUCACGUUUUCCAAAUUAUUUUUUUCGAGGAAAGUUUU